UACGUAGGAGACGAGCGUUGUCCGGAGUUACUGGGCGUAAAGGGUGCGUAGGCGGUCGGGUAAGUCUGAUGUGAAAUCUCACAGCUUAACUGUGAAACUGCAUUGGAUACUAUUCGGCUUGAGAGUUGGAGGGGGGACUGGAAUUCUUGGUGUAGCAGUGAAAUGCGUAGAUAUCAAGAGGAACACCAGUGGCGAAGGCGAGUCCCUGGACAACUUCUGACGCUGAGGCACGAAAGCUAGGGGAGCAAACAGG
rnacentral:rRNA from 1 species